rnacentral:rRNA from 1 species
GAUGAACGCUAGCUACAGGCUUAACACAUGCAAGUCGAGGGGCAGCGGGAUUGAAGCUUGCUUCAAUUGCCGGCGACCGGCGCACGGGUGAGUAACGCGUAUCCAACCUUCCGUACACUCAGGGAUAGCCUUUCGAAAGAAAGAUUAAUACCUGAUGGUAUCUUAAGCACACAUGUAAUUAAGAUUAAAGAUUUAUCGGUGUACGAUGGGGAUGCGUUCCAUUAGGUAGUAGGCGGGGUAACGGCCCACCUAGCCAACGAUGGAUAGGGGUUCUGAGAGGAAAGGUCCCCCACAUUGGAACUGAGACACGGUCCAAACUCCUACGGGAGGCAGCAGUGAGGAAUAUUGGUCAAUGGACGAGAGUCUGAACCAGCCAAGUAGCGUGAAGGAUGAAGGUCCUACGGAUUGUAAACUUCUUUUAUAAGGGAAUAAAGUGGGAGUCGUGACUCUUUUUGCAUGUACCUUAUGAAUAAGGACCGGCUAAUUCCGUG